ensembl:lncRNA
CGGGACGGGUCGAGGCCGAGUCCCGGCCGUGAGGGGAGCGCUCCGGUGAGCCCCUAGACGGGUCGAGGCUGAACCCCGGCCGUGAGGGGAGCGCUCCGGUGAGCCCCUAGACGGGUCGAGGCUGAACCCCGGCCGUGAGGGGAGCGCUCCGGUGAGCCCCGGGACGGGCCGAGGCCGAACCCCGGCCGUGAGGGGAGCGCUCCGGUGAGCCCCGGGACGGGCCGAGUCCCGGCCGUGAGGGGAGCGCUCCGGGGCUGUGAGAUACCGUGGCAGUAGCACACACAACAGCCAGCCCACUGCUCCAGAGGGAAUGACAGCUUCCAAGCCAUCCAGCAGGGACUAAGGGUCCCUUCUUCACACAGAGACAGUCCUGCUCCAUCGAGAAGCCAAAGAGCUGAACCUCAAGUUAAAAUUAAAGAGCUCAGUUUGCAGGUGCUGAAUCAGGACCUUAUUAAAAGUGAGCAGGCGUCUUCAGCUGCUACUUCUGCUGCCCUGUCAUUGUGGUUGUAUCUACUCCCAGUCUUUGACUAUCUCGAGUAACCAAGCCUCAGCACUGGUGACAGCUGAUCAGGAAUUAGAGGGCUUCUUUCCAGCGGCUCUACAGGAUACAGAAGAAAUGUAGGUAAGAGAAAAGGGGGGGUAGUAAUGCCAAAAUAUGGCAUUAAGCACUAUUGAAAUCCUGCGGAGUUGCCUUAUUAACCAUGAGCAAUAAGCACAGGUGAGAACUUUAGAGUAGCAAUUUAAUGUGCUUACCUGCACAUUAAAACAUAGGGUUUUCAGCUUCAGAGCCACAGCUGGACUGCAGCCAAGUAAUGACAAGUGAGAUUGUUUCUACCCUGAGAAGGAAAAGUGUGCAGAGCCUGUGCAGUCACUCAUUAGUGUGUGUCUCUUGCUGACACAAACCA